UACAGAGGGUGCGAGCGUUAAUCGGAAUUACUGGGCGUAAAGCGCACGUAGUCGGCUUUGCAAGUCGGUUGUGAAAUCCCCGGGCUCAACCUGGGAACUGCAUCCGAGACUGCAUUGCUAGAGUAUGGGAGAGGAAAGCGGAAUUUCUGGUGUAGCAGUGAAAAUGCGUAGAUAUCUGGAGGAAUACCGGUGGCGAAGGCGGCAUCCUGGACCGGCAUUGACGCUGAUGAGCGAAAAGCUAGGGGAGCAAACGGG
rnacentral:rRNA from 1 species